AUGCAACUUCCACUUACAUUCAUUCUGUUUUUCAAUUUAAGUUGGGGUCUUCCAAUUGACACGGUCAUUCUGUUCCAGCGGUCGGGAGUGGUCGGCGAGAUGGAGACCGUCGAGCAGGUGUUGGUCAACGGAGCACCUCUCUCCGGCAGCGGGAAAUACGUCAGUGGCAUUCUCCGUGCUGUAUUGAUGGGCAACUACGAGUCUUUUCAGCAGGCGUUCGAGAUCGAAGAAAAUGUCACCAACACCAUGACAAAAAAUCCUACUUACCAGUACCUGCGUGUGCGUGAAUGCAAACUGAAUGGAUUUCGAGUGGUGCAUUCGACCGACCAGCUCCUUGUCAACGGGAAUGACUUCCUGACUUUGGACCAAUCCACAGACACCUGGACAGCUGAGGUACCACAGGCCCUCUCACUCAAACAGCUUUGGGACUGGGACACUGAGUUCACGAGGAGGGAGAAGAUGCAACUCCAUGAGAGCUGUAUCGAACUGAUGAAGGAGCUCAGACAUUCCGAGCCCACCACCAAUAGAGGAACGUCCCUGCUGACUGUCCUGGCUCCACUGUUUGCAUGCCUGACCUUUGUUGUCAUGGUUAUUGCAAGCUUCCUCAUCUCUAAACAACGAGAUCCCAGAGUUUCCAGACACCCUGGAGGUGUACUUGGCUCCAUUGUCCACUACUAUCAGAAUGUCACAGAAACACAAUCAGGAAAAGACUACCAGGCCCUCUAAAACUCAACCCACCUCCGCUCAUCCACCUCUGAUGACUGCUCUGUGAAGGGAGUUGUACGAGAUCUUCAGUUUCUUGGCAAUUUCUCACAUGGAAUAGCCUUCAUUUCUCAGAACAAGAAUAAAGUGACGAGUUUCAGAAGAAAGGUCUUUGUUUCUGGCCAUUUUUGAGCCUGUAAUCGAACCCAAAAAUGCUGACGCUCCAGAUACUCAACUAGUCUAAAGAAGGCCAGUUCUAUUGCGUCUUUAAUAAGCACAACAGUUUUCAGCUGUGCUAACAUAAUUGCAAAAGGGUUUUCUAAUGAUAAAUUAGCCUUUUAAAAUUAUGAACUUUGAUUAGCUAACACAACGUGCCAUUGGAACACAGGAGUGAUGGUUGCUGAUAAUGGUCCUCUGUGCGCCUAUGUAGAUAUUCCAUUAAAAAAUUAUCAAUUUCCAGCUCCAAUAGUCAUUUACAACAUUAAGAAUGUCUACACUGCAUUUCUGAUCAAUUUGAUGUUAUUUUAAGGGACAAAAAAAAAGCAAAUUUAUCAAAAACAAGGAUAUUUCUUAAGUGGCCCCAAACUUUUGUACCCUUGUCCGUCCAACUCUCUGGUCCCCCUUUCUCCCUGGGCCUUCUUCCAACAGGCCACAUUCCUAUAGACCCAGGAGGAUUGUAGCCUACCAAAUAUUUAUAAUAUGACAGGAACUGUGACAUUCCAAUUUGUAUAACUUACUGUUGUGUGUGUGACUUGAACUCUUGAAGUAGUUCCUAGUUAACCACAAGAAAAGAAUAUGAAGACAGUUUUAUGCACUUUAUAAUUGUGUAUUUCCUCACCUUUGUAUUUCCUCACUUAUCUACCGGUGCCUAUGCCUUUCAGGCUUAGCUUUUCAGCCUAUGUCAAAACAGACAGAGGCUGAAACACACAGACACACACUCUGUGUGUUCACGCUCGAUAGCUAAAAACUACUGUAACUGGGCCUCCCGGGUGGCGCAGUGGUUAAGGGCGCUGUACUGCAGCACCAGCUGUGCCACCAGAGACCUUGGGUUCGCGCCCAGGCUCUGUCGUAACUGGGGCGACGCACAAUUGGCCUAGCGUCGUCCGGGUUAGGGAGGGUUUGGCCGGUAGGGAAAUCCUUGUCCCAUAGCUCACCAGCGUCUCCUGUGGCGGGCUGGGCGCAGUGCACAGUGUUUCCUCCGACACAUUGGUGCGGCUGGCUUCCGGGUUGGAUGGCGCUUAAGAAGCAGUGCGGCUUGGUUGGGUCGUGUAUCGGAGGACGCAUGACUUUCAACCUUCGUUGAGCCCGUACGGGAGUUGUAGCGAUGAGACAAGAUAGUAGCUACUAAACAAUUGUAUACCAUGCAUUUGGGGAGAAAAAGGGGUAAAAUUUAAAAAAAACGACUUUAACUAGAACUAGAUUUGUGUAGAGCUGUCGGUUGCAUUUAGUCAACAGCUAUCAAUAACUUUUCCUUUGGUCCAUCUGUUUUGAAUAAAUGUUAUUUUGAUCCAGUUACACAUUCUGGGUGCAAUACGGUAAAAACAAAUGUGUACAGUGAGGAAAUGUGUUCACUUUGUGCACUUUUGUGUAUACUGUAUACUGUAUUAUGAUUUGAGGGGACAGAAUUGUACAUUGAACCGGAUAUGUAUGAAUGAUUUUUAUCACUUGUUUAUCACUUUACUUUGUAUGUUUGUCACUUUAUUAAAGCUAUUUAAAUGCAACUUUUGUAUUGGAGUAUCUUUAAAUGGAAAAUUUACCUGGAUGCCAAAUAGAUGGAUAGUACACCCCGAUCAACUCAAAAGAACAAGAAUUGCGACAAGCUCAGGAGGCUAGGUAUUGGGGUAAGCCUACUUGAAAUGCUGAGGUAUCAUUAUUACUUGGCUAGAGGCAUUCUACAUAGCAUCCCAUUAAUACCUUUUCUGAAAUACAAUGGAUUUUAAAACAUCCUUUUUUUUUAACAGUGGAAGAGAUCGCCAGGGCCUUAAUGUUUGCAUUGCUCCUCAGUCAUGUCAGCAAGCUUUGUAGGUUGGCUUGCUUUGUGAAAAUUGUGCAACUUCAAUGGGUGAGAUGGGGAAGGGUGAACUAGAUGGUAACUUUACAAGUAAAGUUGCGGGGCUUGCUAAAGCUCUUUGUUGUUGUAAUGAAAGAAGUUUUAAAAAGUUGCACUAUUGAUUAUUCCAAUUGUGAAAUUAUUUUAAAUUCCCACCGACAGUCAGAUUUGGUCAGAAGUUGUGGUCAGUAGUUAUGUGGUUCCAUAGUUGUGUGGAUAUGGUCAAAAGUUUGAUGUUUGGUCAGAAAUUGUGUUUGUGGCCCCUAGAUGUCAGAAGUGUGGUUGUUGUCAGUGGUUGUGGUCCCUAGAUAUGUUCAGAAGUUGUGUGGUUGUGGUCAAUAGUUGUGUGGUUGUGGUCACUAGAUGUGGUAAGAAGUUGUGUGGUUGCGGUUAGAAGUUAUGUGAUUGAGGUCACUAGAUGUGGUCAGAAGUUGUGCGGUUGAUGUCAGAUGUUAUGUGGUUCUGUAGUUGUGGUCAAUAGUUAAAUGUGUGAUCAGAAGUUGUGUGGUUGUGGAAUGUAAUUGUGUGGUUGUGGUCACUAGAUAUGGUAAGCAGUUGUGUGGUUGUGGUAUGUAAUUGUGUGGUUGUGGAUACUAGAUGUGGUCAGAAGUUGUGAGGUUGAGGUCAAAAGUUGUGUGGUUGUGGUCACUUCUCUCUCAUCAUUUUGGUCCACGUGUCCUAGCAACGGUUCCGUUAUGGAAUCUCAAUAACAACACAGAGCUUUUGUUAGAAACGAGCAGGCGACGAGUUACUAAAAUUGCUCUACCAAGAGAUUAGUACACACGAUUUCUAAACCGUUUUUAGGAUUUGACAAGCAGAGAAGUGUAGGAAGAUUUAAUUCCAAACUAUUUUUGUCUAAUUGUUGGGUUAGUGGUAAAAACGGUAGUUGUCUGGAAAAUAAUAAAUCUGCUAGCUUCUGACAUGAAUAACAGCAGCUAGAAAGAGACAGGCUGGGUUACUAAAACGGCUCUAGUUACACAUUGGCACGCAUGAUUCCGAAUCUGAAACGGAGAAGUAGAGGAAGAUUUCAUACCUUAGAAAAUGUUAGUUGGAAGUGAUGAUGACACAAUGGGGAGCCUUAGAAUAGUGAGAAAUAACAUGUUAGCGUAUUUGGGCAAAAAAAAUGCCGAAAAGUUUAAUAACGUAAAAAGUAUAACAUAUAUCAAAACGUUGUAUACUCGAGCGAGACCAUUCUGCACGUUUUGACCUUUGAACGGUGUAGUAUUGAACGGUAAGAAUAUCUAAGCUGGGGCUCUUGCUGCGCAAGCCCCUCAAUAAUAUUCAGCGAGAGCACUAUCCAAUUCUGUAUAUAACCCUGGAUUGCUAAUGUUAUGUAUUGGUCAAUGACAGGCUUUGAAGCGACCACUCAGCCAUAAUCGCACUCCGUUCAGAAGGAAUUCAUGGAAUUCUACAGUAUUUCAUUUAAAUGUUUAUGGGACAAAAUUAUAUGCAUUUAAGUAUGUUUUUGAUGUAGUGGGGAAAGUAACAUGAGUACUUUCAAAUGUGUAUGUAAUAGAAGAAACGUAGACAAUAACAAAUGUAGACAAACAUAAAUGCAUUUCUAAAGCUCCCACAACAUUACAUUGGUGGGCGAGUGCCAAGAUGGAGGCGCGAAGACUUCAAAACAGCACCCCCUGUUAGACAUCUAGUGUAUAUUUAAAUGAUUGGAGAUGGGCUCUUUCCUUGUGCUGACGUGGAACCAAUAAAUACUAACUGCCAGUCUCGACGGAAUUUUUUGAAUGAUUGCACAGGAAUGAAAGCGUCAAACGAAAAGAAAAACAAAGGCCAUAUUUGUUAGAAGUUUUUUUUAAAUUUUUAUAAAGCGUGUUUUAUUAAUAGUUGUUAAAAUACUAGCUAAUCAGUCACAGAGUAGGCCUGUGUUACUAUUUUCUCUUUGAGAGCUGGCAUUUUGGUUAUUUCGUUAUUGAUUCCACCCGGACUGUUUUACUGGCUGUACAGUUCCAUUCUACCGAACGGAACCCCCAGUAGCAGAAGCAACUUCUCAUGUUACUUUACGCAUCUCUUAUACCCUUGCAUUUGUAUUAAUUUAACCCCAA
rnacentral:lncRNA from 13 species